GAGCCGCCCUUGAAAUACCACCCUUUAAUGGCUGGUGUUCUAACGUAGACCCGUGAUCCGGGUUGCGGACAGUGUCUGGUGGGUAGUUUGACUGGGGCGGUCUCCUCCCAAAGAGUAACGGAGGAGCACGAAGGUUGGCUAAUCCUGGUCGGACAUCAGGAGGUUAGUGCAAUGGCAUAAGCCAGCUUGACUGCGAGCGUGACGGCGCGAGCAGGUGCGAAAGCAGGUCAUAGUGAUCCGGUGGUUCUGAAUGGAAGGGCCAUCGCUCAACGGAUAAAAGGUACUCCGGGGAUAACAGGCUGAUACCGCCCAAGAGUUCAUAUCGACGGCGGUGUUUGGCACCUCGAUGUCGGCUCAUCACAUCCUGGGGCUGAAGUAGGUCCCAAGGGUAUGGCUGUUCGCCAUUUAAAGUGGUACGCGAGCUGGGUUUAGAACGUCGUGAGACAGUUCGGUCCCUAUCUGCCGUGGGCGCUGGAGAAUUGAGGGGGGCUGCUCCUAGUACGAGAGGACCGGAGUGGACGCAUCACUGGUGUUCGGGUUGUCAUGCCAAUGGCACUGCCCGGUAGCUAAAUGCGGAAGAGAUAAGUGCUGAAAGCAUCUAAGCACGAAACUUGCCCC
rnacentral:rRNA from 1 species